rnacentral:rRNA from 1 species
AACGCUGGCGGCAUGGUUAAAGCAUGCAAGUCGAACGCGAAAGUAACUUCGGUUGCAAGUAGAGUGGCGAACGGGUGAGUAAUGCGUUUCUAACGUGCCCUGAGGUUGGGGAUAGCUGGAGGAAACUCCAGGUAAUACCUAAUAAUCCCGACGGAUCAAAGGCUUGCUGCCUCGGGAGCGGGAAAUGUCCUAUCAGGUAGUUGGUGGGGUAAAAGCCUACCAAGCCUUAGACGGGUAGCGGGUGUGAGAGCAUGACCCGCCGCAUCGGGACUGAGACACUGCCCGGACUCCUACGGGAGGCUGCAGCGACGAAUAUUCCGCAAUGCGCGAAAGCGUGACGGAGCAAUGCCGCGUGAAGGAUGAAGCCUCUCGGGGUGUAAACUUCUGUCAGGUCUUAGAAAGUACUGAUCAGGACCAAAGAAGGGCCGGCUAAGUUCGUGCCAGCAGCCGCGGUAAUACGAACGGCCCGAGCGUUAAUCGGAAUCACUGGGCUUAAAGCGUACGCAGGCGGACCAGAAAGUACCUUGUGAAAUCCCUCGGCUCAACCGAGGAACUGCUUGGUAUACUGCUGGUCUUGAGUGUGGUAGGGGCGGUCGGAACGAUAGGUGGAGCGGUGAAAUGCGUAGAUAUCUAUCGGAACGCCAAAGGAGAAGUCAGGCCGCUGGGCCACCACUGACGCUCAUGUACGAAAGCGUGGGUAGCGAACGGGAUUAGAUACCCCGGUAGUCCACGCCCUAAACGAUGUGCACUAGGUCCGGGAGGUUCUGACACCAUCCGGGCCGAAGGAAAACUACUAAGUGCACCGCCUGGGGAGUACGGUCGCAAGGCUAAAACUCAAAGGAAUUGACGGGGGCUCACACAAGCGGUGGAGCAUGUGGGUUAAUUCGAAGCAACGCGAAGAACCUUAUCCUGGGUUUGACAUGCACGGAUUAGUCCCGUGAAAGAGAAGUAACGCGGUUCGAGUGGAACAUACACAGGUGCUGCAUGGCUGUCGUCAGCUCGUGCCGUGAGGUGUUAGGUUAAGUCCUUCAACGAGCGAAACCCUUGCCGUUAGUUGCCAGCGAGUAAUGUCGGGGACUCUAGCGGGACUGCCGGUGUCAAACCGGAGGAAGGUGGGGAUGACGUCAAGUCCUCAUGGCCUUUAUGCCCUGGGCUGCACACGUGCUACAAUGGUAACUACAGAGCGAAGCGAUAUCGCAAGGUGGAGCAAAUCGCAAAAAAGUUGCCUCAGUUCGGAUUGGGGUCUGCAAUUCGACCCCAUGAAGGCGGAAUCGCUAGUAAUCGCGUAUCAGCUACGACGCGGUGAAUACGUUCCUGAGCCUUGUACACACCGCCCGUCACGUCAUGGAAGCCGCAGUUGCCCGAAGUCGCCCCGAUUCAGGGGUGCCCACGGUAAAGGUGGGACUGGGACUAAGUCG